rnacentral:rRNA from 1 species
GACGAACGCUGGCGGCGUGCUUAACACAUGCAAGUCGAACGGAAAGGCCCUGCUUUUGUGGGGUGCUCGGGUGGCGAACGGGUGAGUAACACGUGAGUAACCUGCCCUUGACUUUGGGAUAACUUCAGGAAACUGGGGCUAAUACCGGAUAGGAGCUCCUGCUGCAUGGUGGGGGUUGGAAAGUUUCGGCGGUUGGGGAUGGACUCGCGGCUUAUCAGCUUGUUGGUGGGGUAGUGGCUUACCAAGGCUUUGACGGGUAGCCGGCCUGAGAGGGUGACCGGCCACAUUGGGACUGAGGUACGGCCCAGACUCCUACGGGAGGCAGCAGUGGGGAAUAUUGCACAAUGGGCGGAAGCCUGAUGCAGCAACGCCGCGUGCGGGAUGACGGCCUUCGGGUUGUAAACCGCUUUCGCCUGUGACGAAGCGUGAGUGACGGUAAUGGGUAAAGAAGCACCGGCUAACUACGUG